GUUCAUUACAAGGUAAUUAAAUGAUAGUCGUAUGCUUAUUUCAACGAAAGAAAUAUAUGUAUUACUGAAAAAUUAUAACAUAAGGGUUUACGAUAUGACAAACUAGUAUAAACAUUUACUGAAUUCUAUCAUCGAUACAACGGCAUCAUUGGUAAAUAUAAAUCAACAUGCAGACAUCUUAUCCGUUCAGAUAUUUCACAUCCAAUCUUUUAUGGUAAAAUUCUUUACAAAGCACAGAAGCUUACCAAACUUUAAAACACAUUUAUUAAAAAGGUAUAUAGUUACGAUACCAUUGUCUUAAAAAAGUGCAGAAUUUUCUAAAUUUACGUUCGAUCAAUCGAGAAUAACGCCUUUUCAUAUACAUGAACCUAGCGAUUAUAGACGAUAUUUACAUAUAUAACAGGCAUCACCUAAAAAUAUAAGAGAUUACAGGCGAUUUAUUAUUAAAUCACUACGAAUAAACUCAGCCGUCAAAAUAAAACUUCACUCAAAGGCAGAUAACAAUUGUUGCUUACAACAUUCAAGUUAGUCAAAUACCACUCAUACAAUUAUCGUGGCAUUUCUCUAUUAAAGGCUAUUUUGAAUUUGAUAUCAAGAUUCUCAUCAGUACGUUCUUCCGUGUGAAAGGUUUUAAUAUUAAUAACUUUAACUUCAAAAACCGCUUAACCGAAUACUUUAUAUUCUAAUAAGUUUAAUGAAUGAAAGGUUUUCUGUAUAUUUCUCGAGGUAAAGCACAUUAAAAUUUGGUUUCAUGCAUUAUCGUAUACUUUCUAAUGCGCUUUCACAUCCAUUAUUCAACACAUUUCUGUUAAGUGAAUACUAGUACUCUUUGUAAAUUAGUAUACAUGUUAUAGUUGACGGAACAUAUGUAUUAAACCUUGCCUAUGUGUCCGAAUAGUAACCAUUUACUACGCACUAUCUUAAAACAAUAACUAUCUUUAAAAAAGAUAUCAGACGUAUUUAAAUUUGAGUAUAUUUUUUAAACUAUCAUUUGGAUAACCUUCAGAAGCACAAAGAUACCAUUUAAAUAACAUUUUCUCUGUUUGUGUUCAGUAUUCUCGGUCCUCGUAUCUUUCUGUUUACAUUCACCAAAACCCCGCGGAAAUCUCACAUGCGUAGGUGCGUUCUAAAAGUCAAGUACGUUCGUACAACAAAGUUUACAUAAAAAAUUAUAUAAUUUUCCCGAAUAAACAGCUGUCACGGAUGCAAAGUGCUAUUGGAGAAACAAUUAUUUUAAUAGAAAUAUAAAUCUUUGUAAGAUCUAGUUCAAAUAUUUAUAGUUUUUUACUUGCUUUCCAUCACGAUAUAAUCAACGAGACGUAUUUUCAAACACAACCAAAUCACCCACCAUGACAGCAUUUUGUCCAAUCACAGAAAGGAUUUUCGAGCAUGCGUAUUCUGAUGCCAUAGUUAAACGUCCUUAAGUUCAAAGGACACAAACCGAAACUAUACCGACUACGUCGGAAAAAUAGUACACUUAGUCUAUUAGUUUGUUUUACUCAGGUUGCAAUACACGUCAAAAGAAUACAAGAUUGUUGUAUUACACUUGAUAUCAUAUUAAAUCUCAGGUGAUUGUUGUUUAAUUUGCUUUAUUUCUUAUAUGCAAUCAAACUUCAAAAACUAUAUAGAAUGAUAAUCGAUUAUUACAUAGAGACUUAUUAUAAUGAAAAAGUCAUAAAACAAACGCUGACAGUACUAUUAGUUGUUUCUGUAUAAUGUUUUGAUGUGCCGUUGAAAAAUAUGAUUGAUGAUGGAGACCUAUUUAUUUUCUGUCACCGAAAAUGGUUACCAAUGAUAUCAACAGAAUUCGGAAUUCGUUUAAUAAGGGACGACAUCAAAAGUUCAAUGUAGGAUAAAAAACUUAAUUCGCAUAGUUUUUUCGCUGACCCCCCUACCCACCUUCUUAACUUAAUUUGGGAACAAUUGAUUUGCCUGUAUGGAUAUAUGUAAAAUCGGUUUAGAUUAACAAAACUUGCAGCAAUGUUGACCCCCCCGCCCCCCCCCACCCCCACCCCCAAACUAUUUAAUUUAAGUUUUUUAUCCUACAUCGAUCUUUUGAUGUUGUCCCUUAGAACAUCCCCUAAUCAACAUUUCAAUAAUGGUGAAAGACUCAAGGAGACAUUUUAAACUCAUAGGUUGAGAGAAAGCGACAAUGCCAUGAUAGACAUACAAACAAGAAACGAUCUAUUAAAAGAAAAUUUCUGGACUGUGAACACAAACCCCAUCAAAAACUUGGAGCUAUCUCAAGCAAUCUUAUAUAGUUAUCAGAUUCUGCUCCCCUUGUUCAACCCAUUGGGAUCUAAUAUUUGUUCGUUUUCCCAGUUAUAAGGAUAAUAUCUUUUUUUAGUUAUAAAACAUAAAGGAUGACCUACCCCAAUAUAUACCAUUGACAAAUCGUAAACCUGAAGAGCAGGGGUUUUAAUCCCGGUUGUCCUCAGAUUGUUUUAUUCUAUAUAGAUAUAUGUCAACAAUAUAUGCAUUAACUGAGUUUUAUUAAGAUAAUUAUUUUUUUUUAUGUAGCACGAUACUUGCCAAUUUUAUAAAAAAAAAUCUACAUUCAAAGUUUCAGGUGUUUUGCAAUGGACAGUUAUUGGAAAGAUUACAGAUUAUGGACAAAACGUGACAUUAUUUUGCCAUGUGUCAAACUGCUGCCCACAAGCUUCAGGUUGGGAUAGAUAUUCUCCAGAACAACGCACACUGUUUAUAGAUAUCAAAACAGGACUACCUAAUACAAAGUAUGACGGAAAGGUUUCCGGAGAUGGAUACACAUUAAUUAUACAAAAUUUGACUAAAUCUGAUCUGAAUGUUUCGUAUGCCUGCGUGUAUGGUGCAACAAUUGGUGAAAUUAAGUUUUUACUGGAAGAUGAUGUUUUCAC
rnacentral:lncRNA from 1 species